AAAAGUUUAAGACAGAAAUCAGCACACCCCCCUAAAACACACGAGUGUACCAUCCUCUCUCUGAGCUCCGCCCCUCUCCGUCCUCCGGCUGAUAUAAGGACUCCCACAUCGACUCCAAACACUGUGAGAGGGAGAAAACCAGAGGUCACACUGAUAAGAGAAAGGAAAAAAAGAGGCCGCUGGCAUAUCUGAGAGGAUCAACAGAGAGACAAAUCAGAGAAGAGUUGAGGAGAGAGGAAGAAAGCUGCCUGGAGGACGCCACGUGUGUGUGUGUGAGUGUGUGCAUAUGUAUGUUGAGACAGGCAAAGGAAGAUUCCAGGAAUAUUUGUGAGACUGACAGAGGACGAAAGUACAUCAUGGAUCCCUCAAGUCCCUCAGAGGGCCCCGUGGAACCCAAAGAAAGGAGGAAAAUCCAGUUCGCCGUCCCACCAACAGAACCAACUCAGCUGGACCCUCGGCAGGUUGAGAUGAUUCGACGACGAAGACCCACACUGCCACUUUGUUCAGAGUAGCA